rnacentral:rRNA from 1 species
GAUGAACGCUGGCGGCGUGCCUAAUACAUGCAAGUCGAGCGAACGGACGAGAAGCUUGCUUCUCUGAUGUUAGCGGCGGACGGGUGAGUAACACGUGGAUAACCUACCUAUAAGACUGGGAUAACUUCGGGAAACCGGAGCUAAUACCGGAUAAUAUUUUGAACCGCAUGGUUCAAAAGUGAAAGACGGUCUUGCUGUCACUUAUAGAUGGAUCCGCGCUGCAUUAGCUAGUUGGUAGGGUAACGGCUUACCAAGGCAACGAUGCAUAGCCGACCUGAGAGGGUGAUCGGACACACUGGAACUGAGACACGGUCCAGACUCCUACGGGAGGCAGCAGUAGGGAAUCUUCCGCAAUGGGCGAAAGCCUGACGGAGCAACGCCGCGUGAGUGAUGAAGGUCUUCGGAUCGUAAAACUCUGUUAUUAGGGAAGAACAUAUGUGUAAGUAACUGUGAACAUAUUGACGGUACCUAAUCAGAAAGCCACGGCUAACUACGUG